rnacentral:rRNA from 2 species
GCCGCGUUAAUACGUAGGGUGCAAGCGUUAAUCGGAAUUACUGGGCGUAAAGGGUGCGCAGUCGGCCCUGUAAGACCGGUGUGAAAUCCCCGGGCUCAACCUGGGAAUUGCGCUGGUGACUGCAGGGCUAGAGUACGGUAGAGGGGGGUGGAAUUCCUGGUGUAGCAGUGAAAUGCGUAGAGAUCAGGAGGAACACCGAUGGCGAAGGCAGCCCCCUGGGCCUGUACUGACGCUCAUGCACGAAAGCGUGGGGAGCAAACAGGAUUAGAUACCCUGGUAGUCCACGCCCUAAACGAUGAGAACUAGCCGUCUGGAGUCUUCGUGCUCUGGGUGGCGCAGCUAACGCGUGAAGUUCUCCGCCUGGGGAGUACGGCCGCAAGGUUAAAACUCAAAGGAAUUGACGGGGACCCGCACAAGCGGUGGAUGAUGUGGAUUAAUUCGAUGCAACUGCGAAG